rnacentral:rRNA from 1 species
UACGUAGGCAGCGAGCGUUGUUCGGAGUUACUGGGCGUAAAGAGUGCGUAGGCGGUUUCUAAGUUUGGUGUGAAAUCUCCCGGCUCAACUGGGAGGGUGCGCCGAAGACUGGAAGGCUUGAGUAUGGGAGAGGUAAGCGGAAUUCCUGGUGUAGCGGUGAAAUGCGCAGAUAUCGAGGAAGAACACCAAUGGCGAAGGCAGCUCUCUGGGACGGUACUGACGCUGAGACGCGGAAAGCGUGGGGAGCGAACAGG